rnacentral:ncRNA from 1 species
AAAAAGUUUUAUUUUGGCUUUAAAAUUAAGUUUUAUUUUUUAAUAUAUGUAAAGAUUAUUAAAUAAUAAUUAGCAGUAUUAAAUUUUAAUUAUUUAAGAAAUUAAGAAUUAGAAAUAAUAUUUAAUAUAAACUAAAUUUGUGCCAGCAGUUGCGGUUAUACAAAUUAUAUAAUUUAAUUAUUUUAAUAUUAAUUAAUUUGAAUUUAAAUUUUAAAUAUAAAUUUAUUAAGUGAAAUUUUAAAUUUUUAAAAAAUUUAUUUUAGUUAAUGAUUUAUGAAACUUUAAUAUUAAACUAGGAUUAGAUACCCUAUUAUUUAAAGUAUAAUUUAUAUGUUAGAUUAGUAAUAGUUAUGUUCUUGAAAAUUAAAAAAUUUGGCGGUAUUUUAGUCUUUUCAGAGGAACCUGUUUUAUAAAUGAUAAUCCACGAUUUUAUUUACUUUUAUUAUUAAUUUACAUAUCGUCGUUAUUAAAUAUUUUUUAAGAAUUAAAAUAUUUAUAAUUUUAUAUUUAAAAAUAAUUCAGAUCAAGGUGUAGUUUAUAUAAAAGAAAAAAUGGGUUACAAUAAAAAAAUUUUUGGAAAAAUAUUUUUAAAAUAUUUUAAAAUUGGAUUUGAAAGUAAUUUUAAUAAAUUAAUUAAAAUGAUUAAGCUCUAAAAUAUGCACAUAUUGCCCGUCGCUUUCAUUUAAAAUGAAAUAAGUCGUAACAAAGUAGAUUUACUGGAAAGUGAAUCUAGAUGAUU